rnacentral:rRNA from 1 species
GACGAACGCUGGCGGCGUGCUUAACACAUGCAAGUCGAACGGAAAGGCCCUGCUUUUGUGGGGUGCUCGAGUGGCGAACGGGUGAGUAACACGUGAGUAACCUGCCCUUGACUUUGGGAUAACUUCAGGAAACUGGGGCUAAUACCGGAUAGGAGCUCCUGCUGCAUGGUGGGGGUUGGAAAGUUUCGGCGGUUGGGGAUGGACUCGCGGCUUAUCAGCUUGUUGGUGGGGUAGUGGCUUACCAAGGCUUUGACGGGUAGCCGGCCUGAGAGGGUGACCGGCCACAUGGGGAAUGGGAAACGGCCAGGACGCUUACGGGAGGCAGCAGGGGGGAAUAUUGCACAAUGGGCGGAAGCCUGAUGCAGAAAGGCCGCGUGCGGGAUGACGGCCUUCGGGUGUAAACCGCUUUCGCCUGUGACGAAGCGUGAGUGACGGUAAUGGGUAAAGAAGCACCGGCUAACUACGUG